rnacentral:rRNA from 1 species
AGAGUUUGAUCAUGGCUCAGGACGAACGCUGGCGGCGUGCUUAACACAUGCAAGUCGAGCGAUGAAGCUUCUUCGGAAGCGGAUUAGCGGCGGACGGGUGAGUAACACGUGGGCAACCUGCCCUAUAGAGGGGAAUAGCCUUCCGAAAGGAAGAUUAAUACCCCAUAAGAUUGUAGUUUCACAUGGAACAGCAAUUAAAGGAGUAAUCCGCUAUGAGAUGGACCCGCGUCGCAUUAGCUAGUUGGUGAGGUAACGGCUCACCAAGGCGACGAUGCGUAGCCGACCUGAGAGGGUGAUCGGCCACAUUGGGACUGAGACACGGCCCAGACUCCUACGGGAGGCAGCAGUGGGGAAUAUUGCACAAUGGGGGGAACCCUGAUGCAGCAACGCCGCGUGAGUGAUGACGGUCUUCGGAUUGUAAAGCUCUGUCUUCAGGGACGAUAAUGACGGUACCUGAGGAGGAAGCCACGGCUAACUACGUGCCAGCAGCCGCGGUAAUACGUAGGUGGCAAGCGUUGUCCGGAUUUACUGGGCGUAAAGGGAGCGUAGGUGGAUAUUUAAGUGGGAUGUGAAAUACUCGGGCUUAACCUGGGUGCUGCAUUCCAAACUGGAUAUCUAGAGUGCAGGAGAGGAAAGUAGAAUUCCUAGUGUAGCGGUGAAAUGCGUAGAGAUUAGGAAGAAUACCAGUGGCGAAGGCGACUUUCUGGACUGUAACUGACACUGAGGCUCGAAAGCGUGGGGAGCAAACAGGAUUAGAUACCCUAGUAGUCC